CCCACCUGACCCCAUGCCGAACUCAGAAGUGAAACGCCGUAGCGCCGAUGGUAGUGUGGGGUCUCCCCAUGUGAGAGUAGGGAACCGCCAGGU
rnacentral:rRNA from 1 species